GGUUCGGUAGCUCAGUUGGAAGAGCGCUCGUCUGAAAAGCGAGAGGUCGGCGGUUCGAUUCCGCCUCGGGCCA
rnacentral:tRNA from 1 species